rnacentral:lncRNA from 1 species
CAGAGAGAGAGAGGGACAGCGUGAAGAUUGUCAUGGCAUGUUUAAUUCAGCAGCCUCCCGACAGUCGCUGUCACAGUGGCGAUUUAUGUGUUGCCGUGGCGUUGUGUUGCCUCCCACCUCAGCAUCAGUAUUCGGCGGCGGAGGGAGAAGGCAACCUUGAGUGGAAUGUAGGGGCAGGGAGGAGUAGAGCGAGUGGAGGGAGCCAGUUUUUAAUUACCCUGCUAUAGGGGGUGUGUUAGUAUGCACACCACAUAACACACAUCCUCUCACUAGUCAAACAUCCAGACAGCUUUUUUCUUUUUUACUAUUUUCACUUUUUUAUUUUUUACUAUUUUCACUGUUGUUUUUUCCCCGCUUUGGAUUGACCGGGGCUGUUGAGGCAGACUGCUGAUUCGUUUUUCUUUGUUUGAAUUACAUGUUUGAGGUGACUACCUCCAUGAAGAUGGUUGAGAGAAUGCCAAGGGUGUGCAACGCUGUCAUCAAGACUCCCUGAGCCGAGACGAGACCCCAGGGACUAUGGAGAGGGCAGGUCUGGAUCCUCAAUGGGACACGCCCCCUGACAAAUCUCCUCUCUCUCCUCCUACCUCUGUCCAGGAGACCAACACUAGAGAGAGUCUCCUUUUCUCUUCAUGUCUGCUCACAUUGGAGUGACCUUGAAGAAGGCUGCUGGUGGUGUAACAAAAUGGAUCUUAUUGCUUUCAGAACUUUUAAAACUACAAUAACUAUUUUAAUUGAGGAGCAUGACAUCCAUGCAAUCAAUUUCCGUCAGGCUCAAUUUUCACACCCAAUCAGAUCCUUGGCUGGUGAGCUUGGCUUAGAGAGGACUAUGGGUAGGAAAGCGUAGCGGCUGAGUGCCUGCUAAAACCCAGCUGAGGUCAGGAAUAGAACAUGAAAUCCUUAAUGUGACACGCUGUGCUUUACUUUAAUUUCUUCUGUAUAUUUUGUUUUGACAAGCAGCCUUGAAAAUAGAAAAGUUGACUGGUGACAAGACUUAGAUCAGAGGAGGA